GACGAACGCUGGCGGCGUGCUUAACACAUGCAAGUCGAACGGAAAGGCCCUGCUUUUGUGGGGUGCUCGAGUGGCGAACGGGUGAGUAACACGUGAGCAACCUGCCCUUGACUUUGGGAUAACUUCAGGAAACUGGGGCUAAUACCGGAUAGGAGCUCCUGCUGCAUGGUGGGGGUCGGAAAGUUUCGGCGGUUGGGGAUGGACUCGCGGCUUAUCAGCUUGUUGGUGGGGUAGUGGCUUACCAAGGCUUUGACGGGUAGCCGGCCUGAGAGGGUGACCGGCCACAUUGGGACUGAGAUACGGCCCAGACUCCUACGGGAGGCAGCAGUGGGGAAUAUUGCACAAUGGGCGGAAGCCUGAUGCAGCAACGCCGCGUGCGGGAUGACGGCCUUCGGGUUGUAAACCGCUUUCGCCUGUGACGAAGCGUGAGUGACGGUAAUGGGUAAAGAAGCACCGGCUAACUACGUG
rnacentral:rRNA from 1 species